rnacentral:rRNA from 1 species
CCUACGGGUGGCAGCAGUAGGGAAUCUUCCACAAUGGGCGAAAGCCUGAUGGAGCAACGCCGCGUGGGUGAAGAAGGUCUUCGGAUCGUAAAACCCUGUUGUUAGAGAAGAAAGGGCGUGAGAGUAACUGUUCACUUUUCGACGGUAUCUCGCCAGAAAGCCACGGCUAACUACGUGCCAGCAGCCGCGGUAAUACGUAGGUGGCAAGCGUUAUCCGGAUUUAUUGGGCGUAAAGGGUACGCAGGCGGUCCUGUAAGUCUGGUGUGAAAGCCAUCGGCUUAACUGGAGUAUGGCAUUGGAAACUGGGGGACUGGAGAGCAGAAGAGGGCAGUGGAACUCCAUGUGUAGCGGUAAAAUGCGUAGAUAUAUGGAAGAACACCAGUGGCGAAAGCGGCCGUCUGGUCUGUUACUGACGCUGAGGUACGAAAGCGUGGGGAGCAAACAGGAUUAGAUACCCGUGUAGUC